rnacentral:rRNA from 1 species
GACGAACGCUGGCGGCGUGCUUAACACAUGCAAGUCGAACGGAAAGGCCCUGCUUUUGUGGGGUGCUCGAGUGGCGAACGGGUGAGUAACACGUGAGUAACCUGCCCUUGACUUUGGGAUAACUUCAGGAAACUGGGGCUAAUACCGGAUAGGAGCUCCUGCUGCAUGGUGGGGGUUGGAAAGUUUCGGCGGUUGGGGAUGGACCCGCGGCUUAUCAGCUUGUUGGUGGGGUAGUGGCUUACCAAGGCUUUGACGGGUAGCCGGCCUGGGAGGGUGACCGGCCACAUUGGGACUGAGAUACGGAGCAGACUCCUACGGGAGGCAGCAGUGGGGAAUAUUGCACAAUGGGCGGAAGCGUGAUGCAGAAACGCCGCGUGCGGGAUGACGGCCUUCGGGUUGUAAACCGCUUUCGCCUGUGACGAAGCGUGAGUGACGGUAAUGGGUAAAGAAGCAACAGCUAACUACGUG